GAGCGAACGCUAGUGGUAUGCUUAACACAUGCAAGUCGAACGAGGAUGGGUCUAGCUUGCUAGAUUCAAGCCGAGUGGCGAACGGGUGAGUAACGCGUAGGAAUCUACCCAAUAGUAUGGGAUAACACUCAGAAGUGAAUGCUAAUACCGUAUAUUCUCUGCGGAGGAAAGAUUUAUCGCUAUUGGAUGAGCCUGCGUUAGAUUAGCUAGUUGGUGGGGUAAAGGCCUACCAAGGCAUCGAUCUAUAGCUGGUUUGAGAGAAUGAUCAGCCACACUGGAACUGAGACACGGUCCAGACUCCUACGGGAGGCAGCAGUGGGGAAUAUUGGACAAUGGGCGCAAGCCUGAUCCAGCAAUACCAUGUGAAUGAUGAAGGUCUUCGGAUUGUAAAAUUCUUUCAGCGGGAAAGAUGAUGACGGUACCCGCAGAAGAAGCACCGGCUAACUUCGUGCCAGCAGCCGCGGUAAUACGAAGGGUGCUAGCGUUGCUCGGAAUUACUGGGCGUAAAGAGUACGUAGGCUGUCUUAUAAGUUGGAAGUGAAAUCCCGAGGCUCAACUUCGGAACUGCUUUCAAAACUGUAAGACUAGAGUGAAAUCGAGGAUAGCGGAAUUUCUAGUGUAGAGGUGGAAUUCGUAGAUACUAGAAGGAACACCAGAAGCGAAGGCGGCUAUCUAGGUUUAUACUGACGCUGAGGUACGAAAGUGUGGGGAGCAAACAGGAUUAGAGACCCUGGUAGUCCACACUGUAAACGAUGAAUGCUAAGUAUUGGAUUUUAUAUUCAGUGCUGAAGCUAACGCGUUAAGCAUUCCGCCUGGGGAGUACGGUCGCAAGACUAAAACUCAAAGGAAUUGACGGGGACCCGCACAAGCGGUGGAACAUGCUGUUUAAUUCGAUACUACGCGAAAAACCUUACCAGUUCUUGACAUCUGGGUCGCGAAUUCAGAGAUGAAUUCUUCAUUUAGUUGGACCCAAGACAGGUAUUGCAUGGCUGUCGUCAGCUCGUGUCGUGAGAUGUCGGGUUAAGUCCCGCAACGAGCGCAACCCUCACCCUAUUUUGCCAACAGGUUAAGCUGGGAACUAUUAGGGAACUGACGGUGUUAAACCGUAGGAAGGUGGGGACGACGUCAAGUCAUCAUGGUCCUUAUGAACUGGGCUACAAGCGUGUUACAAUGGCAUCUACAGUGAGUAGCUACAUCGCAAGAUGAUGCAAAUCUCAAAAAGAUGUCUCAGUUCGGAUUGGUCUCUGCAACUCGAGACCAUGAAGUUGGAAUCGCUAGUAAUCGCAGGUCAGCAUACUGCGGUGAAUACUGUUCCCGGGUCUUGUACACACUGCCCGUCACGCCAUGGGAGUUGGUUCUACCUGAAGCUGGCAAUUCAAUCCGCAAGGAAGAUAGCUGUCCACGGUAGGAUUAGCGACUGGGGU
rnacentral:rRNA from 1 species